GUUCGAUGUUGUGUUGUCACUUUGACGUUAUACACAUAAGGAUGAACAAUGGAAACUCUUUCUCGAGGGCUCCAUGUUUGAGGAUCAUUUUAAUGAACUCGAGAAGAUUUGUGAAGAGGCUUAUGGUGGCCACUGUGAGCUCUUUGAUAAUGAGUUUCUGAGGCCUAUUUGCUAGUUACUUCUGGAACUAAGGACGUCAGCCAAGGAGAUGCAACCAGGUAGCGUUCGCAUUGCCUACAUCCUCGAACGAAAAGAUUCACAUCUUUUGAUGUUCAGCUGUGAUAAACUAAAAGAAAAACUUAAAUUUCAAUUCAAAUUGAUGUCGUCUUUUGAUGAUGUGCUAUCUUCCAUUUCAAUGAAUCAAAUUCCCACGACCUUCGGCGGAAGCUUUGAGUACGAUCAUGAUGCUUGGCUGCAGUUUUGAUUUGUGUCCUGCAGUAUAGAUCUAUUUGUGUAAAACCAUCAACAGGUUUUGACCACUGGUACGACAGCUUGAUAGCAAUAACGAUAAUCAUAAGAAAUAAGCAGUUGGCCUGAUGGAAAAUACUGUCUUCCAAUGUCCAGCAGCGGGCAAUGUCCUGCAGGAUGGAGGUCUGGUUAUCGAUUUCACGACAUGGAAGAUCACAAAGGUGGCCAAAACUAUAGCAAGAAGAUUUAUGGUUGGGUGCCGAGAAAUUCCUAUUUGCACCGUAAUCUCCAAUGGGGCUUCUGCUGCAAGGGUGACUGCAGUCAGAAUACCUACGUUCACCAGAACAACACGUGGCCUGCAGGAUCGUAUUGCAUCUUCAGAUGCGGAGGUACGUGUCCAAGGAAUUUUCAACAAGAAACAAGAACCCUUCAUGACGGGUUGUCGUUGUGCAAGUAAGCUGGCUUUGACGGCAAUAGAUGAACUUGGAAUAGGAAAAUUUGGUGAAACGGUAAAAGAAUGUCAGAGAUUGCUCGAAGAACACGAUAAAAAAGUGAGCGCCAUCUUUUCAGACAGACGCCUCUCUGCGUUACAAGUCAAAGGUGAACAACUUGUGUCGGACAUGCAGCAGACAGAUAACUUGAAGAAAACACAAGACUGGAAAUAUACCAUGGAAAUUGUCUCGAAAUUAUAUUUCAAAAUGAAUCAAAUUUUCUCCAAGCUAGAAGUUUUGUAUAGAAAACGAAAACGGGAGCUCGAGGAUUGUCUACAGUUGAAAUGCUUUCAAGAGGAAUACGCUAAGGUAUGAAAUUAUUAAGAUGUUUGCCCAGUUUACUGGAAGACAGGGGCGGAUCUAGAUUAUGUCAAAUCCGUCGCGCGA